UACAGAGGGGGCUAGCGUUAUUCGGAAUUAUUGGGCGUAAAGGGCGCGUAGGCGGCCAUGCGUGUCUUCCGUGAAAUCCCUCGGCUUAACUGAGGACGUGCGGAAGAAACUGCAAGGCUCGAGUCCGGGAGAGGGGGGUGGAAUUCCCAGUGUAGCGGUGAAAUGCGUAGAUAUUGGGAGGAACACCGGUGGCGAAGGCGGCCCCCUGGACCGGAACUGACGCUGAGGCGCGAAGGCUAGGGGAGCAAACGGG
rnacentral:rRNA from 1 species